CAGCUGCUGCCCUGAGGCCCUGGAAGCAAGUGGCUCCUCCAUGCUCCUCUGACUCAGUUGCCUGGAGUGUGAGGGCCCUGGGCUGACCCUGGUGGAUGAGGCCCUCCAGCACUGCCCUGGACCUGGUUGCUCCCUGGACUUGACCUGUUAGGGUCCUUGCGGAGGCAGGUGGAAGGCCGAAAGGAAGCAGUUGGCACAGGCUUCCCUGGUCCCGGUGCGCCUGCCAGGCUGCAUUCCCAGAACCAGGGGCAUGGGUUUGGAGGGAGCUACCAGGGGACCAUCUUCAGCCUGACCUGGCAGGACCUGGAGGACAUGACAGCCUGUGAGGGGUCUGAGCUAGGAGCCGCCUCCCCUGCCCAGGAGAGAGCCCAUUUCCAGGAUGCUCUUCUGACCAGGGUGGAGGGAGGGUAUGAGAGCAGCUCAGCCUGGGGCCCAAGGCCCUGAUGUGCUACUUCCCCUCCCUCGAUAGCUUAUGUCCCCUGCCACCCAAGACCAGCCGGAAAGCUGCUUAGCUGGGGUGUGGGCUGGGGAUGUGGGGUGGAGAGCCUAAAGGAUACUAGCCCGAGAAGGUGGAAGCAGGUCUGUGUGAGGCAUAAAUAUGGAGCCAGCCUGCCCGGGCUCCAACCCCAAUUGUGGACCUCAGGCAAGUGACUGCUUCUCUGUGCCUCAGUUUCCUUGUGGAGUGGGCCAUCGUAAAUAGUAUCUGUGCAUAAGGUGGUUGUGCGAUAAAUGAGUUAAUGUAUGCAAAGCCCUUGGCCCAGAGCCGGCGCAGAGCAUCGUGUAAGUGCUGGCAGGCGUCGUGAUGGAGAUAUCAUGUCUCCUCUUGUUGAUUCAGGAUUCUGAUGAGAUGGAGGAUGGGCCUGGGGUUCAGGAUUAGGCCUUGAGGCACUGCUCCAGCCUCCUUUGUGGCCCCUGUCACCCUUGGCUUCAUCAGCCCGUAGCAGGUCUCCCCUCUCCCACCUCUGCAGGCAGAGGAGUCCAGGACCUGCCUGCUCACGGUUUGUGUCCUGCAGGCCCAUCACCUACCCUCUAAGGACCUAGUGACCCCCUCUGACUGCUACGUGGCUCUCUGGCUGCCCAUGGCCUGCAGCCACAGGCUCCAGACACGCACGGUCAAGAACAGCAGUAGCCCUGUCUGGAACCAGAGCUUUCACUUCAGGAUCCACAGGCAGCUCAAGCCCUGUCACUCGUUUCCCCUCCAGAAUGUCAUGGAACUGAAAGUCUUUGACCAGGACCUGGUGACCGGAGAUGACCCUGUGUUGUCAGUACUGUUUGAUGUGGGGACUCUGCGGGCUGGGGAGUUCCGGCGUGAGAGCUUCUCACUGAGCCCUCAGGGUGAGGGGCGCCUGGAAGUUGAAUUUCACCUGCAGAGUCUGGCUGACCGUGGCGAGUGGCUCGUCAGCAAUGGCAUUCUGGUGGCCCGGGAGCUCUCCUGCUUGCACGUUCAACUGGAGGAGACAGGAGACCAGAAGUCCUCAGAGCACAGAGUUCAGCUUGUGGUUCCUGGGUCCUGUGAGGGUUCGCAGGAGGCCUCUGUGGGCACUGGCACCUUCCGCUUCCACUGCCCAGCCUGCUGGGAGCAGGAGCUGUGUAUUCACCUGCAGGAUGCCCCCGAGGAGCAACUAAAGGUGCCACUGAGUGCCCUGCCCUCUGGUCAAGUGGUGAGGCUUGUCUUCCCCACGUCCCAGGAGCCCCUGAUGAGAGUGGAGCUGAAAAAAGAAGCAGGACUGAGGGAGCUGGCCGUGCGACUGGGCUUCGGGCCCUGUGCAGAGGAGCAGGCCUUCCUGAGCAGGAGGAAGCAGGUGGUGGCCGCGGCCUUGAGGCAGGCCCUGCAGCUGGACGGAGACCUGCAGGAGGAUGAGAUCCCAGUGGUAGCUAUUAUGGCCACUGGUGGUGGGAUCCGGGCAAUGACUUCCCUGUAUGGGCAGCUGGCUGGCCUGAAGGAGCUGGGCCUCUUGGAUUGCGUCUCCUACAUCACCGGGGCCUCGGGCUCCACCUCGGCCUUGGCCAACCUUUCUGAGGACCCAGAGUGGUCUCAGAAGGACCUGGCAGGGCCCACUGAGUUGCUGAAGACCCAGGUGACCAAGAACAAGCUGGGUGUGCUGGCCCCCAGCCAGCUGCAGCGGUACCGGCAGGAGCUGGCCGAGCGUGCCCGCUUGGGCUACCCAAGCUGCUUCACCAACCUGUGGGCCCUCAUCAACGAGGCGCUGCUGCAUGAUGAGCCCCAUGAUCACAAGCUCUCAGAUCAACGGGAGGCCCUGAGUCAUGGCCAGAACCCUCUGCCCAUCUACUGUGCCCUCAACACCAAAGGGCAGAGCCUGACCACUUUGGAAUUUGGGGAGUGGUGCGAGUUCUCUCCCUACGAGGUCGGCUUCCCCAAGUACGGGGCCUUCAUCCCCUCUGAGCUCUUUGGCUCCGAGUUCUUUAUGGGGCAGCUGAUGAAGAGGCUUCCUGACUCCCGCAUCUGCUGCUUAGAAGGUAUCUGGAGCAACCUGUAUGCAGCCAACCUCCAGGACAGCUUAUACUGGGCCUCAGAGCCCAGCCAGUUCUGGGACCGCUGGGUCAGGAACCAGGCCAACCUGGACAAGGAGCAGGUCCCCCUUCUGAAGAUAGAAGAACCACCCUCAACAGCCGGCAGGAUAGCUGAGUUUUUCACCGAUCUUCUGACGUGGCGUCCACUGGCCCAGGCCACACAUAAUUUCCUGUGUGGCCUCCAUUUCCACAAAGACUACUUUCAGCAUCCUCACUUCUCCACAUGGAAAGCUACCACUCUGGAUGGGCUCCCCAACCAGCUGACACCCUCGGAGCCCCACCUGUGCCUGCUGGAUGUUGGCUACCUCCUCAAUACCAGCUGCCUGCCCCUCCUGCAGCCCACUCGGGACGUGGACCUCAUCCUGUCAUUGGACUACAACCUCCACGGAGCCUUCCAGCUUCCUUUAGGAGCUGUGACUGGGACACUGGAAUCUUAAUUUGCCACCAGAGGAGCUCAUUCUUUUCCGGAAGUUGGGAAGCUGGCGAGGUUCUCCUGGUAUCUUCAGUUGCAGCUCCUGGGCCGGUUCUGCCAAGAGCAGGGGAUCCCGUUCCCGCCCAGUCCCGAAGAGCAGCUCCAGCCUCGGGAGUGCCACACCUUCUCCGACCCCACCUGCCCCGGAGCCCCCGCGGUGCUGCACUUUCCUCUGGUCAGCGACUCCUUCCGGGAGUACUUGGCCCCUGGGGUCCGGCGGACACCCGAGGAGGCGGCAGCUGGGGAGGUGAACCUGUCUUCAUCGGACUAUCCCUACCACUACACGAAGGUGACCUACAGCCAGGAGGACGUGGACAAGCUCCUGCACCUGACACAUUACAAUGUCUGCAACAACCAGGAGCAGCUGCUGGAGGCUCUGCGCCAGGCAGUGCAGCGGAGGCGGCAGCGCAGGCCCCACUGAUGGCCGGGGCCCCUGCCACCCCUAACUAACUCUCAUUCAUUCCCUGGCUGCUGAGUUGCAGAUGGGAACUGUCAUCACGCAGUGCUUCAGAGCCUCGGGCUCAGGUGGCACUGUCCCAGGGUCCAGGCUGAGGGCUGGGAGCUCCCUUGCGCCUCAGCAGUUUGCAGUGGGGUAAGGAGGCCAAGCCCAUUUGUGUAAUCACCCAAAACCCCCCGGCCUGUUUGUUUUCCCUUCUGCGCUACCUUGAGUAGUUGGAGCACUUGAUAUAUUACAGACUCAUACAAAUGUGA